rnacentral:rRNA from 1 species
CAUAGGUUAAUGAGGCGAACCGGGGGAACUGAAACAUCUAAGUACCCCGAGGAAAAGAAAUCAACCGAGAUUCCCCCAGUAGCGGCGAGCGAACGGGGAGGAGCCCAGAGCCUGAAUCAGUGUGUGUGUUAGUGGAAGCGUCUGGAAAGGCGCGCGAUACAGGGUGACAGCCCCGUACACAAAAAUGCACAUGCUGUGAGCUCGAUGAGUAGGGCGGGACACGUGGUAUCCUGUCUGAAUAUGGGGGGACCAUCCUCCAAGGCUAAAUACUCCUGACUGACCGAUAGUGAACCAGUACCGUGAGGGAAAGGCGAAAAGAACCCCGGCGAGGGGAGUGAAAAAGAACCUGAAACCGUGUACGUACAAGCAGUGGGAGCACAGAGCAAUCUGUGUGACUGCGUACCUUUUGUAUAAUGGGUCAGCGACUUAUAUUCUGUAGCAAGGUUAACCGAAUAGGGGAGCCGAAGGGAAACCGAGUCUUAACUGGGCGUUAAGUUGCAGGGUAUAGACCCGAAACCCGGUGAUCUAGCCAUGGGCAGGUUGAAGGUUGGGUAACACUAACUGGAGGACCGAACCGACUAAUGUUGAAAAAUUAGCGGAUGACUUGUGGCUGGGGGUGAAAGGCCAAUCAAACCGGGAGAUAGCUGGUUCUCCCCGAAAGCUAUUUAGGUAGCGCCUCGUGAAUUCAUCUCCGGGGGUAGAGCACUGUUUCGGCAAGGGGGUCAUCCCGACUUACCAACCCGAUGCAAACUGCGAAUACCGGAGAAUGUUAUCACGGGAGACACACGGCGGGUGCUAACGUCCGUCGUGAAGAGGGAAACAACCCAGACCGCCAGCUAAGGUCCCAAAGUCAUGGUUAAGUGGGAAACGAUGUGGGAAGGCCCAGACAGCCAGGAUGUUGGCUUAGAAGCAGCCAUCAUUUAAAGAAAGCGUAAUAGCUCACUGGUCGAGUCGGCCUGCGCGGAAGAUGUAACGGGGCUAAACCAUGCACCGAAGCUGCGGCAGCGACACUAUGUGUUGUUGGGUAGGGGAGCGUUCUGUAAGCCUGUGAAGGUGUGCUGUGAGGCAUGCUGGAGGUAUCAGAAGUGCGAAUGCUGACAUAAGUAACGAUAAAGCGGGUGAAAAGCCCGCUCGCCGGAAGACCAAGGGUUCCUGUCCAACGUUAAUCGGGGCAGGGUGAGUCGACCCCUAAGGCGAGGCCGAAAGGCGUAGUCGAUGGGAAACAGGUUAAUAUUCCUGUACUUGGUGUUACUGCGAAGGGGGGACGGAGAAGGCUAUGUUGGCCGGGCGACGGUUGUCCCGGUUUAAGCGUGUAGGCUGGUUUUCCAGGCAAAUCCGGAAAAUCAAGGCUGAGGCGUGAUGACGAGGCACUACGGUGCUGAAGCAACAAAUGCCCUGCUUCCAGGAAAAGCCUCUAAGCAUCAGGUAACAUCAAAUCGUACCCCAAACCGACACAGGUGGUCAGGUAGAGAAUACCAAGGCGCUUGAGAGAACUCGGGUGAAGGAACUAGGCAAAAUGGUGCCGUAACUUCGGGAGAAGGCACGCUGAUAUGUAGGUGAAGCGACUUGCUCGUGGAGCUGAAAUCAGUCGAAGAUACCAGCUGGCUGCAACUGUUUAUUAAAAACACAGCACUGUGCAAACACGAAAGUGGACGUAUACGGUGUGACGCCUGCCCGGUGCCGGAAGGUUAAUUGAUGGGGUCAGCGCAAGCGAAGCUCUUGAUCGAAGCCCCGGUAAACGGCGGCCGUAACUAUAACGGUCCUAAGGUAGCGAAAUUCCUUGUCGGGUAAGUUCCGACCUGCACGAAUGGCGUAAUGAUGGCCAGGCUGUCUCCACCCGAGACUCAGUGAAAUUGAACUCGCUGUGAAGAUGCAGUGUACCCGCGGCAAGACGGAAAGACCCCGUGAACCUUUACUAUAGCUUGACACUGAACAUUGAGCCUUGAUGUGUAGGAUAGGUGGGAGGCUUUGAAGUGUGGACGCCAGUCUGCAUGGAGCCGACCUUGAAAUACCACCCUUUAAUGUUUGAUGUUCUAACGUUGACCCGUAAUCCGGGUUGCGGACAGUGUCUGGUGGGUAGUUUGACUGGGGCGGUCUCCUCCUAAAGAGUAACGGAGGAGCACGAAGGUUGGCUAAUCCUGGUCGGACAUCAGGAGGUUAGUGCAAUGGCAUAAGCCAGCUUGACUGCGAGCGUGACGGCGCGAGCAGGUGCGAAAGCAGGUCAUAGUGAUCCGGUGGUUCUGAAUGGAAGGGCCAUCGCUCAACGGAUAAAAGGUACUCCGGGGAUAACAGGCUGAUACCGCCCAAGAGUUCAUAUCGACGGCGGUGUUUGGCACCUCGAUGUCGGCUCAUCACAUCCUGGGGCUGAAGUAGGUCCCAAGGGUAUGGCUGUUCGCCAUUUAAAGUGGUACGCGAGCUGGGUUUAGAACGUCGUGAGACAGUUCGGUCCCUAUCUGCCGUGGGCGCUGGAGAACUGAGGGGGGCUGCUCCUAGUACGAGAGGACCGGAGUGGACGCAUCACUGGUGUUCGGGUUGUCAUGCCAAUGGCACUGCCCGGUAGCUAAAUGCGGAAGAGAUAAGUGCUGAAAGCAUCUAAGCACGAAACUUGCCCCGAGAUGAGUUCUCCCUGACUCCUUGAGAGUCCUGAAGGAACGUUGAAGACGACGACGUUGAUAGGCCGGGUGUGUAAGCGCAGCGAUGCGUUGAGCUAACCGGUACUAAUGAACCGUGAGGCUUAACCUUAC